AGGUUUACUUGUGCUACAUUUAAGGGUAACAUGAAGUGUAUUCUGGUUUUCUGUUUGGUUGUUGCUCUUACCGCAACCGUACACGCAAACAGUUGCACGGAUGCAUGUGAUGCAACAUUCACUGGAUGCGUGCAAGGAUGUCGUGAUGCACAUGCACAUGGACACCAUUUUGACGCAUGCGAGAGUGCUUGUCAACUUGCCAAAGACACUUGUCAUGUAACUUGUCAUGGGCAUGGAAAAUAAAUUUUAACCGAU
rnacentral:sRNA from 1 species